AGUCUAUCUGUGGUAUAGCAGCCGCACACACCUUGUUGGAUUUAAACCUGUGGAUUUAUUCCUUGUGAGCGCCAGAGAUUGAACACAAGGCUGCUUCAUAUUUACGCCUUGGAUGACCGAAGUUAGAACAGCAGACAAUCAAUAAUAAUUCAAGCCAGAUGAAGACAACACAAAGAGGAGAUGGGUCGAGUAUAUUUUUUAUCAGCUCCUUGACGCUUGAGGUGGUGGCUCCUCAGCUAGCAACAAAUACAUCACCCAGCAUAUUUCCUGGUUGGCUGAGGCUACAGACUCUAUUAAGCUUCUCCCCUCCCAACUUCGGAGUGAAGGAGAACGGCUUCUUUGUGCCAACACUCAAACACAUCUGCAUGUCAUGAGUAUCUGGCAAACUUGUGGACAACUGUCACUGUAGGCAUUCCAUCACCACUGUCGCCUUGGCUUACUGGUGGUGUAAUAUUUGUGACGCCUGAUUCCGUACACAUCUCCAUGUAUAUUGGUACUUGUAAUCAUCUGACGAAGUGAUCUGACCUAUGAUAAAAAUAGCAGAGAUAGAGAUAGAGAGAGGCGGAGGAAGGAAUAUAUUAACUGAUAAAUAUAUCUAUUUGUCGAGUAAUGUAAAACAAUUGAAAUGCCUCCGUCUUGCUAUUUUCUACCGUUACUUCCAUAGUUAUCUUCCUUUUUAACUUGCUAGCUGCUUGCUUUCCAUCCUUCUACAGCAGUGGUUCUCAACCUUGUUUGCCCCCAUGCACACCUUUCACCAUAUGUUAGAAUGUCACUCCCCCUCCUUUCCAAGACUGUCUGCCUCAAAAAGUGCAUUCUAAAUAGUAUGGAAAUAAUACAGAAAAUCCUUGUGGUGAGGCGUUUGCUAGGUUGGUUGCAGCAGGUAACCGAUGCAUACUGAAUUUUGUGCCGCCCUGGGGAGCUCAAAGGGAAUAAAAAGAUCAACAUUCUAACAGUUUGAGUUCGCCAAUCUGUGGUCCCAAUUCCACCCCCUUGAAAACCUGAAAUUCCACCCCCUGUGAGAGAUUCCCUCCUGGUUGAAAACGGCUUCACUGCAUAAGGCAUUCCACUUGCUCUCACUCCUAUUUUGUCCAACUUAUUAAUGCAGGAUUUAUGUAACUAGCAUUUUCAUUAUUCCAUGCUUUUGAUGGAAAAUUU